rnacentral:tRNA from 1 species
AGAGUUUUAGUAUAAGUAAAAUAUAUUCUGUUGUCAACGGAAAGACGAAUGGAACUCUG